AGUGAACGCUGGCGGUAGGCCUAACACAUGCAAGUCGAACGGCAGCACAGUAAGAGCUUGCUCGUACGGGUGGCGAGUGGCGGACGGGUGAGGAAUACAUCGGAAUCUACUUUUUCGUGGGGGAUAACGUAGGGAAACUUACGCUAAUACCGCAUACGACCUACGGGUGAAAGCAGGGGAUCUUCGGACCUUGCGCGAGUGAAUGAGCCGAUGUCGGAUUAGCUAGUUGGCGGGGUAAAGGCCCACCAAGGCGACGAUCCGUAGCUGGUCUGAGAGGAUGAUCAGCCACACUGGAACUGAGACACGGCCCAGACUCCUACGGGAGGCAGCAGUGGGGAAUAUUGGACAAUGGGCGCAAGCCUGAUCCAGCCAUACCGCGUGGGUGAAGAAGGCCUUCGGGUUGUAAAGCCCUUUUGUUGGGAAAGAAAAGCAGCAGGUUAAUACCCCGCUGUUCUGACGGUACCCAAAGAAUAAGCACCGGCUAACUUCGUG
rnacentral:rRNA from 1 species